GACGAACCGUGCGAACGUUGUUCGGAAUCACUGGGCUUAAAGGGCGCGUAGGCGGGCUUUCAAGUCGGGGGUGAAAUCGUUCGGCCCAACCGGACAAGGGCCCCCGAUACUGGAAGUCUCGAGGGAGGUAGGGGUUGGUGGAACUUCCGGUGGAGCGGUGAAAUGCGUAGAUAUCGGAAGGAACGCCGGUGGCGAAAGCGGCCAACUGGACCUCUUCUGACGCUGAGGCGCGAAAGCUAGGGGAGCGAACGGG
rnacentral:rRNA from 1 species